ensembl:snRNA U6 U6 spliceosomal RNA
GUGCUCACUUCAGCAGCACAUACACCAAAAAUUGGAACGAUACAGAGAAAAUUAGCAUGGCCCCUGAGCAAAGAUGACACGCAAAUUCAUGAAGUGUUCCAUAAUUUA